AUUGAACGCUGGCGGCAGGCCUAACACAUGAAAGUCGAGCGGAGCGGCGGACGGGUGAGUAAUGCCUAGGAAUCUGCCUGGUAGUGGGGGAUAACGUCCGGAAACGGGCGCUAAUACCGCAUACUAUCAGCUGAGCCUAGGUCGGAUUAGCUAGUUGGUGGGGUAAAGGCCUACCAAGGCGACGAUCCGUAACUGGUCUUAUGUAAUGAUCCGUCCAACUGGAACUGAGACACGGUCCAUACUCCACCGUCUCUCUCCCUUCUUCCUUCUUUAUCCCUUCUCUAAAGCCUGCUCCAGCCAUGCCGCGUGUGUGAAUAAUUUCUUCCGUUUUUCCCGCACUUUAAGUUGGGAGGCGUUACCAACAGAAUAAGCACCGGCUAACUUCGUGCCAGCAGCCGCGGUAAUUC
rnacentral:rRNA from 1 species